rnacentral:rRNA from 1 species
AGUGAACGCUGGCGGCGUGCUUAACACAUGCAAGUCAAACGAGAACGGAUUAUAGCUUGCUAUAAUUGUCAGCUAAGUGGCGCACGGGUGAGUAAUAUAUAGAUAACCUGCCCUCUAGAAAGGAAUAACAGUUGGAAACGACUGCUAAUGCCCUAUAUGCCUUUAAUACAUAAGUAUGCAAGGGAAACGCUUUAGUGCUAGAGGAUGGGUCUGUAUGGUAUCAGCUUGUUGGUGAGGUAAUGGCUCACCAAGGCUAUGACGCCUAACUGGUUUGAGAGGAUGAUCAGUCACACUGGAACUGAGACACGGUCCAGACUCCUACGGGAGGCAGCAGUGGGGAAUAUUGCACAAUGGACGAAAGUCUGAUGCAGCAACGCCGCGUGGAGGAUGACACAUUUCGGUGCGUAAACUCCUUUUAUAUAGGAAGAUAAUGACGGUACUAUAUGAAUAAGCACCGGCUAACUCCGUG